AUUGAACGCUGGCGGAAUGCUUUACACAUGCAAGUCGAACGGCAGCACGGGGGCAGCCCUGGUUGCGAGUGGCGAACGGGUGAGUAAUACAUCGGAACGUGCCCGGUCGUGGGGGAUAACGUAGCGAAAGUUACGCUAAUACCGCAUACGAUCUGAGGAUGAAAGCGGGGGAGCGUCGGGCCUCGCGGGAUGGGAGUGGCCGAUGUCAGAUCAGGUAGUUGGUGGGGUCGAGGCCUACCAAGCCGGCGAUCGGUAGCUGGCCUGAGAGGGCGACCAGCCACAUUGGGACGGAGAGCCGGCCCAGACUCCGACGGGAGGCAGCAGUGGGGGAUAUUGCACCAUGGGCGGAAGCCUGAUGCAGCAACGCCGCGUGCGGGAUGACGGCCUUCGGGUCGUAAACCGCUUGCGCCUGUGACGAAGCGUGAGUGACGGUAAUGGGUAAAGAAGCACCGGCUAACUACGUG
rnacentral:rRNA from 1 species